UACGUAGGGCGCAAGCGUUAUCCGGAAUUACUGGGCGUAAAGCGUGCGUAGACGGUAGCGUAAGUCAGAUGUGAAAGCCCCGGGCUCAACCUGGGAAUUGCAUUUGAGACUGCUCUGCUCGGGUGCGGAAGAGGGAAGCGGAAUUUCCGGUGUAGCGGUGAAAUGCGUAGAUAUCGGAAGGAACACCAGUGGCGAAAGCGGCUUCCUGGUCCGACACCGACGUUCAGGCACGAAAGCGUGGGGAGCAAACAGG
rnacentral:rRNA from 1 species